GGCAGACACAACAUCUUUGUUUGUAUGUGGUGCUGAGGAUCGAACCCGGGCCGCACGCAUGCCAGGCGAGCAUGCUACCGCUUGAGCCACAUCCCCAGCCCAGCAUGGAGUCUUCAGGGGCCUACAAUUUAUUCUUUGUUCCAAAGCACGAAAUGUGAGAGGUGGCCUUGCAAACCAAUGGAGGGUCAUCCCAGGUAUCAGGAGGGCAGCGAUAGAAUUGGAUCUUGCCACAGAAUGGCUCAGGGCUACACAGUGGAAGGGAGCAAGGUGAGAGUUGAGGAAAUCAUGACUAUGAUCCAGUACUGGGGAUUGAACACCCAAGGCCUUGCACAUGAUAGACAAGUGCUGUACUACUGAGCUACAUCCCCAGUUACAGAAAGUGACCUGGAGAGAUACAGAGGAGACUAAGGAGAUGUUCCUAAAGAGAUGUUCCUGGUGCAUGCCUGUAAUCUCAGCGGCUCAGGAGGCUAAGGCAGGAGGAUUGUGAGUUCAAAGCCAGCCUCAGCAACAACUAGGUGUUAAGCAACUCAGUGAGACCCUGUCUCUAAAUAAAAUACAAAAUAGGGCUGGGGAUGUGGCUCAGUGAUUGAGUGCCCCUGAGUUCAAUCUCUGAUAUCUCUGAUAUCCUCUACCCCACCCCACCCUCUGCCAAAAAAAAAGGAAAUGUUCCUGAAGGAGGUCAGAAAUCAGUUGUCCUGAACUAGGGAGGGGCAUUGAAACACUGGUGUCUCUGGUGUCCACUCAACAAAGAUAUCUGCAGAAGUAGAAAAGUAAGGUUCUGAUCCCAGUCUCAAUCCCUCCUAUACCAGUGGGAACAGGUAAAACUCAUCCUUCAGUUCCUGCUCUCUGUCCUGGACAUAGUGGCCUCUUCAGAUUCCAAUCUGAGGACUCUAGGGCAGAGAUCAGGUAAAUGACCAGUGACCCAAUUUUUGUAGCUCAGCUACAGAAAUACCUGGCUCCGCCUGGCCUGGCUUGGAGGAAGGGGCCUCCCUGCCACAGUUCAGCUUUCAGCUCACUAGGUUUCUGUCCUGAAUCCCAUCGAAGUCUCACAGCACUGGGAAUUUUCUUGGAAAUCUACAUUCAAAUUUCAGCUUAGCCACUCAUUCUCUGGGUAACCUGAGGACUCUGGUCCCCACUAUGAUAUGGGGAGGAGAUUUAGCAAUAUUUAAAUGGCUCUUUGGGAGUGCCUGGUGAAGGAGAUGGAAAUUUACCCCCCACCCCAUAGGCCCCAGGGAUCUACAACUGUUCCCCUACCUGCCCUCGUGUCCUGCCCUAAAUGAGCCUGCCAAAAGUAACUGACCAACUGACCUGGCCCUGCUAAACUCUAUAAACCCAGAUCCUUGUUGGAGCCCGCCAUCAUUUUCCCCUUUCUAAAAUAUGACCCUCUGUUGCUUAAUAAAGCAUUACUGGUCUAUUGA